rnacentral:rRNA from 1 species
UACGGAGGAUCCAAGCGUUAUCCGGAUUUAUUGGGUUUAAAGGGUGCGUAGGCGGCCUAUUAAGUCAGGGGUGAAAGACGGUAGCUUAACUAUCGCAGUGCCCUUGAUACUGAUGGGCUUGAAUGGACUAGAGGUAGGCGGAAUGUGACAAGUAGCGGUGAAAUGCAUAGAUAUGUCACAGAACACCAAUUGCGAAGGCAGCUUACUAUGGUUUAAUUGACGCUGAGGCACGAAAGCGUGGGGAUCAAACAGG